CGCACCUAAAGGCUUUUCUACGAAUAUUAAUCUAUUCCUUAAAAAUGACUCUCCCUUUAUUUCACUAGUAAUGUGCCUUGCAAUUACUGUUGAAUAUAAACUUAGUCGAACCACUACAACUCUGACGUACAACAAAUUUAGCAUACAUUUUAAAACCAAUUGCAGUUGUGAUUUAAAACGUCCCAAAUCAAACAAACUUUCAACAAAGGCCCAAACAUUUCGAAAUCAUGCUUUCUGAUAAGCCAAAUACACUUUGAUCACACAAGAGCCAAUUUAAGCCCAUACGAUUUAUUUGAGUCGAACUCUUGCGCUCAAGGCCUGAAAGCAUUCAAACUCACGUUCAUAGCCUUACUUGGCCCACUCACGAGCCAGGCCUAAUUCAUUAAUAAAACAUGUCGGCUCACUGAAUAUAUUUAAAGUAAGUACAUAAAAUGAAUUUAUCUGAAAUAACAAGUUACACAAUCCAAUCAUAACAACUAAAUGAUCUGACUAUUCAUUAAUAAAAGAAAAACUUUGUAAAGAUGAUCCAUCCUUUAACUAAAAGCAACAAACUCCAUCCAGGGGGGGGGGGGUGUGUGAUUCCAAACGUGCUUGGAUUUGCAAGAGCAGCUAUAGAGCUAACUAACAAAUCUGCAUCUGAUUCAUUAUCGUAGCAGGCAGACAAAACUAAAGUUAGUACAGUUACAACCCCUUGUUUGUUUCAAUCACAUAAGGAAAGCUUAACAAAAACAUGUCCAACUCCCUUUAAAACUAUAUCACGGAUUUCACUAAUUAGUCUACUAUGUUAAAUUACAAAACAAUAAAAUGGGAGCAGGUUUUUACCCUCACAUGGACCCUUAUAGGUUAUUCUAAACAUGCUGGACCUUUCACAGUCUAUCCUACAACUUGAAAGAAAACUUUAAACUUAAACAAUGGGAAGAGAAGAAGUCACAAAUGAUUAAUCUACCCAUAUAACAAGAAUCACACUAAUUUUCAAACAAGGGUUUGAAUCAGAUUCAUAUUAGCUUACCAAUACUCACUUGAAGUCCAUUCCUUGAACAAUCAUUCCAUUUCAUAAAAAGAAAACCAUUGCACGAGAAAUGAACUGGAAAGAGUACCUUGAAAGAGUAACAACAAAGAAACAACAGCCAAAGUAAUAUGAAAAAAACCAGCAACAAUGACUCAACACAGCAGUAGGGAUCAGUGAUGAAAAACCCAGCAAAACAGCUUUAAACCAGCCAAAUUUCAGCUUAGAAGCCCAAAAAAACCAUGUAAGCCUUUUAAAAUUCAUAAAGAAGACCCAGAAAACCAACCAAGUAAUGUAAAAAAACCUUUUUCUCUGAAAUUCUGAUGUGUUUUUAGUAUUUUUGGUGCAGAGAAUGAUGCCUCAGGUCUGUUUUUUAGAAUGAAGAAAAGGGCAUUAUUUUAUAGGCCUCUAAGGCCAUAUGCUC
rnacentral:lncRNA from 1 species